AUUGAACGCUGGCGGCAUGCUUUACACAUGCAAGUCGAACGGUAACAGGGAGCUUGCUCCGCUGACGAGUGGCGAACGGGUGAGUAAUGCGUCGGAACGUGCCGAGUAGUGGGGGAUAACGCAUCGAAAGGUGUGCUAAUACCGCAUACGUACUGAGGUAGAAAGUGGGGGACCUUCGGGCCUCACGCUAUUCGAGCGGCCGACGUCUGAUUAGCUAGUUGGUGAGGUAAAGGCUCACCAAGGCGACGAUCAGUAGCGGGUCUGAGAGGAUGAUCCGCCAACCUGGGACUGGGACACGGCCCAGACUCCUACGGGAGGCAGCAGUGGGGAAUUUUGGACAAUGGGCGCAAGCCUGAUGCAGCCAUGCCGCGUGUCUGAAGAAGGCCUUCGGGUUGUAAAGGACUUUUGUCCGGGAGCAAAUGCCUGGUGUUAAUAGCACUGGGAGCUGAGAGUACCGGAAGAAUAAGCACCGGCUAACUACGUGCCAGCCGCCGCAGUAAAAC
rnacentral:rRNA from 1 species